UGCGUUCCACCUCUCUGUAUCAACCAGAUCAAGGGAUUUUAUUCCCUGAUGCUGAGAGAUCAGCUAUGUCUAAAAAUAUACAUGGGCUGCAAGACAGAACUUUUCGAGGUAAAGAGUGCAGAGACAACUCGUAAUGGCUGCCGGGACCGCACUCAUGGCUUCUCGCCUUCCUGUGCCUGCAGGAUGUCAGGCCAGCAGCCCCUUGUCUCUCUCAGAGGCUGCCUCAUCCAUGCCCCGCUAAUCCUCGACUAGGCCCCCAGAGCGGAGAGGCAGAGGACUACUCCGAAAUGGCGGAUAACAAGUGAUUUUCAGCAACAAAUACUCCUAGAAAGUAACAAUGUCUAAAAGCCUGUGUGUUAUGAUAAACUUAUUUAUAAAUAAUGUGUGCAACUAUUGACUGUAUGAUGAGG